GUUCCCCUAGCAGAGUCCUCGGCCAGCAGACGGGAGCUUCGCCUCAGUCUGGCCACCACCUGUCGAGGGGGCGAGGACACGCCUGCUCUCUGGUGUCUCCUGUGCUGACUCAGGCGCUUCCUCUUUCCCUCCCUCCCGCCUCCCUCUCCGUAGACCAGUGGCAGCGGCCCUGAGGCCUGGUCCUGCCCAGGGACCCUUGGCUGUGAACAAGGCCCAGGCAGAGCCUGGCCAGCUCAGGGAACAGGCACGGCCUGCGGCUCUCUCGUCAUCGAGGUGCCUGAAGACGGAACUUGGGAAGGUCCCGGCCUGUUCCUGCAGCAUUGUGAGAACAGAUGGCUCCUGGGCCAGUGGCCUCGGAGAGGGCAGGAGCUGCAAGAGCCCCAUCCAGACGCCCCAGAUGCGGCCCUGGGACACCCACUCCUGCCACUUCCUCUUUCUGCUGACAGAGGCACUCUGUCCACACCUGGGCCAGCACUGGGGCUGAGGAAGAGGAAGGCCGAACCUGUCCCUGGGUGAGCUUGGGGACAAGGAGGGAGAAGACAGAAACAUCUGGUGAGGGGCUGUGGGUGACCUCCCAGCAGAGGAGUCAGAGCUGUGACCACUGGCCACGGUCAAUCGCACCCAAGGCCGGUGGCCGCUACUGAGGGCAUCGUGACUAGGAUGGAUGCCCUCGUCUCCCUGAGCCAGCUUCCCUCUGUAACUGGAGGGGAGGACGAUGGGGGCUGUGCUGGGGACUCCCAAGGAGGAUGCUCUCAGACCUUGGUCCAGGGCCUGGUGGAUGGUCACAGGGCAGCUGCUGGUGGCCACUAUGACGGUUUCAUUCCAGGAGAGCCGGGAGGCGAGGGAGGGUGAGGGCCAGAGGCAGAGGGCUGUGUCCACAAGGUGCCCCUCGAGCUCGCUAGUGUGCACCUCACAAAGCGCUAACAGCCUGGGCUUGAGGCAGAACGCGGGCCUCGCUGAUUCCUGCCGUCAGUUCAAGGACAAAGAGCCCUUGGAAAUGCUGUCAAAACAGUUAUUCCCCAGUCCAACAGGGGGCUGCAUGCCUGUCACUCCAGGAGAGGUCCCCAGCCCGCGGCCAGCGCCUGGCGUGAUUGGCUCUCACCCUGAGCCACCUGAGAAACUUGGGGGAAGGACACUUUGAUUUGCCGGAGAUCAGAGCCUGUUUGAACUGUCGCCGAUUUCCCUUCCAGCGUCUGAGGGCCACUUCCUCUCUCUGGCCAGAAGUCUCCGCGAGCCAGGCCAGGGCUGCGGUGCCCCAGGGCCUGGCCCCUGCCCCAGGCUGGUCCCAGAGCUGCAGAGCCCUGCCAGCUCCCCAGGCGGGCGUGGCUCAGAAUCCUACUUCCUGACCCUGAUCCCCCGUCCUGGGCACCCUCAGGGUCCAUAGGUCCCCUCCUACAGCUGCUCUGGCUCCUAAGAGUUGCCCUCAGUGACAAGGCCAGUGACUGAAGGCCCAGCCCUGGUUUCUGAGGUGGAACCAGGCCCUCCCCUGGGCAGCAUGAAGAGGCAGCGUCACCUCCCCAGAGAGCAAAGGGCACCAACGCAGGAGCCCGACUCGUUCAGUCCUCGGCAGACCAGGAAGCGAGUCUCCACUGCUGCCAUCAGCAUGAAGCCACCAACGGGGCAGGAGGGAAGGGGACGCUCCAUGGGGCUGUGUGCUGGGGACAGGGCAGGCCUGGCUGGGAGGCCAGAGCACGUAUGAGCCGAGGAGGGGCAUGAGAGCACACGCACACACACACACACACAGAUGCAUACACAGGUGCACACACAUGCACAUGUGCACAUGUGCAUACACCACACACAGGCACACAUGCACGAAUAGAUAUGCACAGACACUCACACAGAUGUACACACAUUUGCACACACACCACACACAUGUACACGCAGAUGCACAUACCUGCACAUAUACACAUAUGCACACACACCACACACAGACACACGUGUAUGCACAUACAUGCACAGAGAUGUACACACACACACACAGCAGAGCCACACGUGGGACUACGUGAGGUGACUGUGCAUCUCAACAGGCGUCGGAUCAGAAGAGCACGUGGGCCUGUGGCCAUGGCUGGAGGAGGGCGCGGGCUCCCGUCAGCUGCCCGAAACUGGUGACCACUGCUGGCCUCUACCCCAGGAAGGUCAUGGCUGAGUGCCCUGGGCACCCAGUCAUGGGGCAGCCCCCCAGUGGGCCUUGCUCUGCAAAUGUCCGGCCUGCGAGGGAGCCCGAGGUUCAACACUCAUGGAGAGCACCAGGCCAGGAGAGGCCUGCAGGGGGGACGGCACAUCCUGCACGUCCAGGCCUCCCCACGUCCCACUGGACCCUGCAGAUUUUGCAGCCCCUGCCAGACACCCCCAGCUGAGGCGGGUGUCCUGUGUCCCUCCGCCCCACUCAGGGCCCCUGGUCCCUCUCAGCCUGGUUUCUGGUGACUCUGCCUGUGACACGUCGGUUCCAGCCCAUUCGGAGCCCCAGGAGCCUGGGGCUGACCCCAGCUCUCCUCUCCAGGGACAGGUUGAGUGGCCACAGGGUUGGCCUCCCUGAGCCGGUGUUUCCGCCCCCAUCCAGAAAGCCCCCCGGGGCAGGGUGUGUCUGUAGGUCCACAGCUGACCCAGCAGCUGCAAAAGCACGGCCCUGCAGACUGACCGCGGCCCCGCAGACUGACCGCAGCCCUGCUGCCAACGCUCCCGGAGCCAGUGGAGGGACCUCCCACCCGAGGCUGCGGUGCCAGGGCCAGGCCCACCUGUGCUCCGCCUGUCCACCCUCCUUCCGCGACUCUCAACCCCCUCGGCCCGGUAGGCCCCGCGCUCUCCCUGCCCUCCGGGCCUGCAGGGCUCUUGUCCCCAGGGAGGCUGCCUUCCCCGCCCCCCUGCUGUCCCCACUGUGUUCUCAAUGGCCUCCCCACCCACCUCUGACUCACCAAAUCUCAGAGGUGUCCCGGCCCCGGCCCCCUUCCCUGGAGCAGAACCAGGUGGACAGCGCCCCUGCCCCAGUGCCUCACUGCUGUCCAGCUGGGCCCACUUCGGAAUUCAGAGAAGAACUGACCAGACCCUGCCCUGCUCUGCGCUCCCUGCUCAGCGGAGGCUGAGUGGGCCGUUGGCCGGGAGCUGGGAAAGCCCACACCUGGAGGGGAGCCAGGGGAGCCCAGCCCAGCAGAGGGCCCUGGAGCCUCCGCAGCAGGACACGGGCAGGACCACCCGUGGGAAGGAAGUGGGUGCUGAUGCAGGACACGUGCACCCGCCUCUUCCCUGCCCACUGUGGCUCUGGGGUCCCUGCCUCUGUGGCCCCCUUGCGAGGAGGGAGCAGAGCCCCAGCGCAGGCCUCAAGAGGCACAGACUCCAGCUGCCUCCAGUGCCUUCCAGCAACCAGGACAUAUCCUCCAGGACGGAGGCAGGGGAGAGGCCCCACUUCAGGGAGGCUGCUCCCCCCGGGACCUCACCAUAAGCCCCUGGGGAGGCAGCCCCUCCAGCCUGUCCUAACUGAAUGCUUUUGCCCUGGUAAUGACACUGGAAUCAAAGCCCUGCUUCUUUAGCUCUGGAGCCACAUGCAGAAAAUAGCCAUGGCCGUAAGACUUUCCUCUCGAGUGGCGAAGUCAUUGCCCAGCUAACCCUCUGUGGCCCCCAGAUGCCCUAUGGAGGCUGGCGACCCCCCUGGGCUUUCUCACACACUCACCCUGCCUGCACCCAGCCAUCCCUGCUAACCACUUGCUGCCCCACGUGGUGGCCUCCGGGCCUUUGCACGUGUGAUCCCUCUGCCUGGGACAGCAUCCUUCCUCUCGCUGCCACCCAGGUAACCCCAGCCCUUCAGAGGAGCCUCCUCCCCACCUGACGCUCUGCAGACAACAGCCCACAUUUCCCGGUCUGUCGUCCAGGUGCUGAGUGGCUGCCGGGGCCCCUUUCCACGGAACCUCCCUCUGAUGGAGGGAGAGACCACAAGGAAGCAGCCAGGUCCCCGAGCAUGCAGGUGCCUCCCCACGGCCAGGGUUCCGUCUGGCUGCUCUCUACACUAGCUGCUCUGCCAGUCUGAGGGGACGGCCAUAGCACCGUGCCACAGAGCCGCAGAGCUGGGCUCAAACAAUGCAGUCGCUCCCAGUCCUAGAGGCCAAAAGUCCAAGGUCAAGAAGUGGGCAGGGCAGGCUCCUCCCUCCUGGGUGUGUGGAUGCAGUCUCCCCCGUGUUUUCAUGUGGUGGUCCCUCUGUGUGUCUGUCCUGGUCUCCCCUUCUCAUGAGGAUGCCAACCAGACAGGAUGAAGCUCCCCACUAGUGACCUUGCUUGACCUUACCAACCUCUGUGAAGAGGCCCACACACAGUCACAUACCAAGGUCCUGGGGUCGGGGCUCAGCACACGGACCUUGGAGGACAUAGUCCUGGCAUGAGCGCCACAAGCACCAGGUCCUCUGCAGUCCUGGCCCCUCCCAGCAGCCUGGGUCUGUCAGAGCACACCCCUGUUCCAGGAGGGGCAUUUCAUUUCCCACUUCUCUGCACACGGCACGUUGCCCAUGCUCUGCUCACCCUGGGCACAGAGUUGAGCCCGGGCCUUCGUGGCCAGGUGCACUGGUGUUUUCUGGGUGAGUGGACACGUUUGGCUCCAGGGCAGGAGCUCAUAGGCCUGCUCUGUGAAGGGCCAGCCUUGCUGGCCGAGCUGUCUCUAGACCAGUCACCCAUCUCACUCUGGGAAGAGCGCGGUGGCCAGAGGCGGCACACAGGCCAGUGGGUGGCUACUGGCUAUCACGAGGACAGGCGGCAGGCCUCUGUGCGCUGACCCCUGCUCGGGGCCCAUGAUGAGAAACCACCACCUUUGGCACUUAGAGGGCUUAAGUCUCAUGAGGACAAGCAGCCCCUGUGUCCCUUCAAACGGGCCCGUCCCGAGGCAGAGCUCAGCCAAUAUCCACAGCAGGCAGGGGACGUCCUCGUCUGUCUGGGCCCGUGAGCACCUGCCAGCAGCCGUGGUCAAGGCGCCAGGAGCCGAGGCACAUGUGUCACUUGCUCCUCAUUUAACACACUCACCCACACACGCACAUGGACACGCACACACAUGUGCGCACACACGCACACACCCACGCACACAACCACACACCCACGCAUACACCCACGCACGCGCACACACACACCCACGCACAUGCACGGUGAGCACGGCUCCCUCUCUGCGGAUGCAAAACCCAAGGCUCAGGGAAACAGGCCGCUGCCCAAGGUCGCGUAGUGGUCUCCGCCCGGCAGACCUGUUCGCAGAGCGAUCAGUUCGCUGAGCAGCCCAGGAAGGUGACCGGUCACCCGAGUCUGCCCUCUGGUCGGCUGCAUGACUCAGGCCCUUUGUGCCUCAGUUUACCCAUCUAUAAACCAGGAGAGCCCUGCUCACAGCCGCAGUCGGUGGACCAAGUACCAGUCCACAGUAUCGUCCCUGGGAGCCCGUGACAGAGCCUCCAUGUCAACGAAGCCAUCGUCACUGUCGUCACCGCCUUUGCUCCUGUAUCUGAUGCCCCCCAGGGACUUCGUGGAGCAUUUCCGAUUCAGUCUCACGGGAGAUGAUUUUACAAUCCACCAUCCCUGGCUUCAGAAAUAGGACUUUCUGCUUAAUAAAUGGCAAACACCAGCAAUGAACAGGGUCAAGCCCCGGGGACAUCGCAGUCCCCACAGCCCAACUGCACAGCUCCGUCCACGGGGCGAAGGAAGCAGGAUGUGCUGUGUGGCGGCACCUGCCGCGUGGAGGCAAGAAGGCGGCAGGGCAGAGAGGACAGGGUCGGCAGGCAGUGCACACAGAGGCCCGGGCACUCCCGGCAGCUGGACACGACUGGCGGCACUCAGACCCCGUCACCCUGCACAGCGGGAAGCCUCCAGCCCCACAGCGCCUGGACUCCCUUGUCGUUGGAGACCAGGGCGAAGUCACGUUGCUUCUGGGUCCUGAAGGCUGGGGUCAGAGAGAGCUGCAGACUGCUGCUGACCCUGAGUCCCUGCCAGCAACCUGGUGCCCACCGGUCAGUGCCCAGCGAGACGUCUGGCCUCUCACCCCACAUUACAAGGGCUGCCCCUUUGCACCGGCCUUCGCUUGACAGGAUGCCCGCGGACCCUGCCAGGGCUGGAGCACAACAGUGUCCUCUUGUCCCCCCUUUCCCCCAUGGUCACCUUCAUGCUCUGAAGCUGCCCUAGAAGUGAUGCACCUGAGCCCCGGGCAGUGUCCCCCAGUGAGUCCUCCCUGACCGCCCACCCCUAGCCGUGCUGGCUCCUCUGAGUUUCUGGAAGGAAACCAACAUCUCGGUGCUGGGAAGGGAAGGAAAACCAGCCAAGGUGUAAAGUCCAGCUUAAGUGUGUCCAGCUUCGGUGCCCAUGGCUCUGCCCACAAGCGGCAGAGGCCCCAGCAUAGGGAGCACCCAUGGGCACACGUGCCAGCGUCACGGAGAGCUGGCCCAGGAAGGGCGGGCCAGGCCUACCCUCCGACCACAGCAGCCUCACGAGUUUCCCGAGUCUGGGAAGAAGACCACAUCGGGCUGUCCCCAAGGAAGCCUGUCCAGGCCCCAGGUCCAAGCCAGCACACAGAGGCUGCCUGUGCCCGGGGGCCUCUGCCCAUCAUGAAGAGAGCGGGAGCCCAGGGAGAGUCAGUGGAGCAAGACCCUGUGCCCAGGAGCCACGUCCACCAACCCCACAGCCCAGCGGAUCCCAGCCACACCACAGGCUGGACCAGUCAGCAGCGUGUGUCCAGCUCCAGUGCCCAUGGUUCUGCCCACAAGCAGCCACUGGGCUGGGCGGGUGUGUUGUUCAGCAUGUGGCAGCAGGCACCUGCCUGUGCACCAGAUUGUUGGUAUCCAGGCCUGGCGUUGUCCCCGGCACUGCCCGGCUUCUUGGGAAUUAGAGAUCUUUAAAACCCUAUAAACUCCCCAAACCUAAAGCCCUGCUGUCAUUGUUAUUAAUUCCCACCGAUUUCUCGUUCCUUUACAACCUUAAAUAAACCUCUUUACUCCCUUUUUCUUUCCUUACUCACAGAAAAGAGCCAAGGAAAAGAACCAA